rnacentral:rRNA from 1 species
UGGAUCCAGACUUUGAUUAUGGCUCAGGAUGAACGCUAGCUACAGGCUUAACACAUGCAAGUCGAGGGGAAACGACAUCGAAAGCUUGCUUUUGAUGGGCGUCGACCGGCGCACGGGUGAGUAACGCGUAUCCAACCUGCCCACCACUUGGGGAUAACCUUGCGAAAGUAAGACUAAUACCCAAUGAUAUCUCUAGAAGACAUCUGAAAGAGAUUAAAGAUUUAUCGGUGAUGGAUGGGGAUGCGUCUGAUUAGCUUGUUGGCGGGGUAACGGCCCACCAAGGUGACGAUCAGUAGGGGUUCUGAGAGGAAGGUCCCCCACAUUGGAACUGAGACACGGUCCAAACUCCUACGGGAGGCAGCAGUGAGGAAUAUUGGUCAAUGGACGAGAGUCUGAACCAGCCGAGUAGCGUGCAGGAUGACGGCCCUAUGGGUUGUAAACUGCUUUUAUAAGGGAAUAAAGUGAGAGUCGUGACUCUUUUUGCAUGUACCUUAUGAAUAAGGACCGGCUAAUUCCGUGCCAGCAGCCGCGGUAAUACGGAAGGUCCGGGCGUUAUCCGGAUUUAUUGGGUUUAAAGGGAGCGUAGGCCGGAGAUUAAGCGUGUUGUGAAAUGUAGACGCUCAACGUCUGCACUGCAGCGCGAACUGGUUUCCUUGAGUACGCACAAAGUGGGCGGAAUUCGUGGUGUAGCGGUGAAAUGCUUAGAUAUCACGAAGAACUCCGAUUGCGAAGGCAGCUCACUGGGGCGCAACUGACGCUGAAGCUCGAAAGUGCGGGUAUCGAACAGGAUUAGAUACCCUGGUAGUCCGCACGGUAAACGAUGGAUGCCCGCUGUUGGUCUGAAUAGGUCAGCGGCCAAGCGAAAGCAUUAAGCAUCCCACCUGGGGAGUACGCCGGCAACGGUGCAACUCAAAGGAAUUGACGGA